CAAGAGCGUAUGUAAAAGUUGUUGCAGUUAAAAAGCUCGUAGUUGAACCUUGGGUUUGGUUGGCCGGUCCGCUUUUUUGCGAGUACUGGAUUCAACCGAGCCUUUCCUUCUGGCUAACCAGUCGUUUCGGCGGCUGGCGGACCAGGAUUUUUACUUUGAGAAAAUUAGAGUGUUCAAAGCAGGCAUUAGCUUGAAUAUAUUAGCAUGGAAUAAUAGAAUAGGACGUUAUGGUUCUAUUUUGUUGGUUUCUAGGACCAUCGUAAUGAUUAAUAGGGACGGUCGGGGGCAUCAGUAUUCAGUUGUCAGAGGUGAAAUUCUUGGAUUUACUGAAGACUAACUACUGCGAAAGCAUUUGCCAAGGACGUUUUCAUUAA
rnacentral:rRNA from 1 species